GGUUAAGCGACUAAGCGUACACGGUGGAUGCCCUGGCAGUCAGAGGCGAUGAAGGACGUGCUAAUCUGCGAUAAGCGUCGGUAAGGUGAUAUGAACCGUUAUAACCGGCGAUUUCCGAAUGGGGAAACCCAGUGUGUUUCGACACACUAUCAUUAACUGAAUCCAUAGGUUAAUGAGGCGAACCGGGGGAACUGAAACAUCUAAGUACCCCGAGGAAAAGAAAUCAACCGAGAUUCCCCCAGUAGCGGCGAGCGAACGGGGAGCAGCCCAGAGCCUGAAUCAGUGUGUGUGUUAGUGGAAGCGUCUGGAAAGGCGCGCGAUACAGGGUGACAGCCCCGUACACAAAAAUGCACAUGCUGUGAGCUCGAUGAGUAGGGCGGGACACGUGGUAUCCUGUCUGAAUAUGGGGGGACCAUCCUCCAAGGCUAAAUACUCCUGACUGACCGAUAGUGAACCAGUACCGUGAGGGAAAGGCGAAAAGAACCCCGGCGAGGGGAGUGAAAAAGAACCUGAAACCGUGUACGUACAAGCAGUGGGAGCACGCUUAGGCGUGUGACUGCGUACCUUUUGUAUAAUGGGUCAGCGACUUAUAUUCUGUAGCAAGGUUAACCGAAUAGGGGAGCCGAAGGGAAACCGAGUCUUAACUGGGCGUUAAGUUGCAGGGUAUAGACCCGAAACCCGGUGAUCUAGCCAUGGGCAGGUUGAAGGUUGGGUAACACUAACUGGAGGACCGAACCGACUAAUGUUGAAAAAUUAGCGGAUGACUUGUGGCUGGGGGUGAAAGGCCAAUCAAACCGGGAGAUAGCUGGUUCUCCCCGAAAGCUAUUUAGGUAGCGCCUCGUGAAUUCAUCUCCGGGGGUAGAGCACUGUUUCGGCAAGGGGGUCAUCCCGACUUACCAACCCGAUGCAAACUGCGAAUACCGGAGAAUGUUAUCACGGGAGACACACGGCGGGUGCUAACGUCCGUCGUGAAGAGGGAAACAACCCAGACCGCCAGCUAAGGUCCCAAAGUCAUGGUUAAGUGGGAAACGAUGUGGGAAGGCCCAGACAGCCAGGAUGUUGGCUUAGAAGCAGCCAUCAUUUAAAGAAAGCGUAAUAGCUCACUGGUCGAGUCGGCCUGCGCGGAAGAUGUAACGGGGCUAAACCAUGCACCGAAGCUGCGGCAGCGACGCUUAUGCGUUGUUGGGUAGGGGAGCGUUCUGUAAGCCUGUGAAGGUGUGUUGUGAGGCAUGCUGGAGGUAUCAGAAGUGCGAAUGCUGACAUAAGUAACGAUAAAGCGGGUGAAAAGCCCGCUCGCCGGAAGACCAAGGGUUCCUGUCCAACGUUAAUCGGGGCAGGGUGAGUCGACCCCUAAGGCGAGGCCGAAAGGCGUAGUCGAUGGGAAACAGGUUAAUAUUCCUGUACUUGGUGUUACUGCGAAGGGGGGACGGAGAAGGCUAUGUUGGCCGGGCGACGGUUGUCCCGGUUUAAGCGUGUAGGCUGGUUUUCCAGGCAAAUCCGGAAAAUCAAGGCUGAGGCGUGAUGACGAGGCACUACGGUGCUGAAGCAACAAAUGCCCUGCUUCCAGGAAAAGCCUCUAAGCAUCAGGUAACAUCAAAUCGUACCCCAAACCGACACAGGUGGUCAGGUAGAGAAUACCAAGGCGCUUGAGAGAACUCGGGUGAAGGAACUAGGCAAAAUGGUGCCGUAACUUCGGGAGAAGGCACGCUGAUAUGUAGGUGAAGUCCCUUGCGGAUGGAGCUGAAAUCAGUCGAAGAUACCAGCUGGCUGCAACUGUUUAUUAAAAACACAGCACUGUGCAAACACGAAAGUGGACGUAUACGGUGUGACGCCUGCCCGGUGCCGGAAGGUUAAUUGAUGGGGUCAGCGCAAGCGAAGCUCUUGAUCGAAGCCCCGGUAAACGGCGGCCGUAACUAUAACGGUCCUAAGGUAGCGAAAUUCCUUGUCGGGUAAGUUCCGACCUGCACGAAUGGCGUAAUGAUGGCCAGGCUGUCUCCACCCGAGACUCAGUGAAAUUGAACUCGCUGUGAAGAUGCAGUGUACCCGCGGCAAGACGGAAAGACCCCGUGAACCUUUACUAUAGCUUGACACUGAACAUUGAGCCUUGAUGUGUAGGAUAGGUGGGAGGCUUAGAAGUGUGGACGCCAGUCUGCAUGGAGCCGACCUUGAAAUACCACCCUUUAAUGUUUGAUGUUCUAACGUUGACCCGUAAUCCGGGUUGCGGACAGUGUCUGGUGGGUAGUUUGACUGGGGCGGUCUCCUCCUAAAGAGUAACGGAGGAGCACGAAGGUUGGCUAAUCCUGGUCGGACAUCAGGAGGUUAGUGCAAUGGCAUAAGCCAGCUUGACUGCGAGCGUGACGGCGCGAGCAGGUGCGAAAGCAGGUCAUAGUGAUCCGGUGGUUCUGAAUGGAAGGGCCAUCGCUCAACGGAUAAAAGGUACUCCGGGGAUAACAGGCUGAUACCGCCCAAGAGUUCAUAUCGACGGCGGUGUUUGGCACCUCGAUGUCGGCUCAUCACAUCCUGGGGCUGAAGUAGGUCCCAAGGGUAUGGCUGUUCGCCAUUUAAAGUGGUACGCGAGCUGGGUUUAGAACGUCGUGAGACAGUUCGGUCCCUAUCUGCCGUGGGCGCUGGAGAACUGAGGGGGGCUGCUCCUAGUACGAGAGGACCGGAGUGGACGCAUCACUGGUGUUCGGGUUGUCAUGCCAAUGGCACUGCCCGGUAGCUAAAUGCGGAAGAGAUAAGUGCUGAAAGCAUCUAAGCACGAAACUUGCCCCGAGAUGAGUUCUCCCUGACUCCUUGAGAGUCCUGAAGGAACGUUGAAGACGACGACGUUGAUAGGCCGGGUGUGUAAGCGCAGCGAUGCGUUGAGCUAACCGGUACUAAUGAACCGUGAGGCUUAACCUU
rnacentral:rRNA from 1 species